AAUAUACAUAAAGACUAUACCCUCUAUCAUUUAGGGUUUGUGUGAUUAAAGGAAAAAAGGUCAAGAGGGAGAAAUCAAUUUAUCAUGUAUUAUUUGUGUUCUUCGUCAAAGCUUAAUGCUCAACUCCAAUUCCACAUGAGGUAUUUCUUGAUUUUUAUGAAAUUCAUAUUAUUCUAAAUAUCAUAAAAUCAUUAUUCAUGCAAUAUGAGGGAUUUGAUUUUCAUAUUACAUAGAUCUUAAUAGAAGUUUACUAGGGGACGUCAGUUGAUUCCGUUGGCAACUCUACACUAGUUGAAUGAAAGGAUGUUGUGGUUUUGCUAUUAAAAUCAGGGGUAUUUGGGAUUUUUCACAACUAUAAAUAAUUGAAGUUAGAUCAGAUUUAAGGAGUCUCUUAGAUCUUUUAGUUGAGAAAGUAGUUAAGAACGGUUAUUCAAACAUCCUCUGCAGCUUUUCUUUGAGAUGUCUUUAGAUAUUUGUAACCAGGAGAAUUUCAUUUGUAAUUCUCUUUAGAUUCCUUAGUUUCUAGUUAUUGUAAGCGGAAUUGAAGCUCCAUGAUAAUGAGAAACACUUAGGCAAGUGAAGAUAUCAAGCUUCAAGAUUGAAGACCGAGCUCAUCUUUAGACAUUGAAAAUUUGUUAACUCUUUCUCUAUUUUGUAGUUUGAAUAGUGUUUUAAUAAUGAAAUGUACACUUGCUUUCCUUGUGUUUCAAUUAUGAGCUACUUUUAUCACAGGUUAAUCGGUUGCUGAGGACCGACUCUCAUAAUACUUUCAUUUAAACACAAGAAAUUAUUUAAUUGUAAUUAUUUAUUUUGCAAUGAUGUCAUACACUUUUGAUUGGUAACUAAUCUAAUUUUGGUUUUCAAAUGAAACUACUCGUAACUGAUUUUUGAAGCAAAAAUCGUAAGUGCCAAAAACCUGCCAUGCAGCAUGUUCGAUUUUAGUCUAGUUUAAGGUUUUUCUUUUUUUUAAUCUGUCGAUGCUAUUGAAUCAGACUUUGUAAGUUGGACUGUGGUGAAAUGAAGUACUUCAUUCUGAAUGAGGAAAAAAGAAAGCUUCGAUUCCUUUUAGGUCUUAUGAUUGGAUCUAGCAAGCAUCAUCGAUAGCAUUGUAUAAAGGGCUCAUAUACUUUAAACUACAAUGUUACUUUCAUGCUGGUUCACGCGUUUUGGAUCUCAAAGCCCUACCACAUUGUUCGAUAAGCCUCUUUAAAGUCAUCCCCCACCACCCAAUAAGUUGAACCACGGUCCAAGAUUAUUGUUCUUGAUUAAAGUUUCUUGUAAACCUUUUAGCACCAAAACUUACACUUUGUGGGGUUCAAAUAUUGGUAAAUUUAUCCCGCCGUCCCCAAGUCCAAAGGAAUGAAGAAAGAAAAUUUAUUAAUGUUACAUCAAUCCUAGGUCUAAUCUAAAAUAAUUUGAUUUUAAGUUUACGAUUUACAUUAUAGUAAUUCCUUUGGACUGUGAGAAAAUAAUUAAAAUUUUGUCCAAUUCAUUCAUACAACCACUCUUAAAAAGUGAUAUUAUACAAAUUUUUAUUCGAAUCUAAAUGGGUAAAUGUGACCAGUUCAAUGGCAAACUCAUCUUACUAUCCCACUUUAACCGAGAAGCAAAAGAAACGGAGUUGGACAUGUGUCUAAAAUCCCUUACGGGCGGAAAGUUAAGGAUGAACUUAAUUUCCAAGAGCACAUUGGAAAGUUAAGGGGCUCCAGCAGCACGCAUGGUUAGACGGGGACUAGCACGAGGGUGCAUUGGUGGGGGAGAAGCCCACUUUGGGUCGACAGCUUUGCUCCUUUUUUGACUCCACUCUUUUGCUCCUAAUUCAACUUAUUGUACUACGUAUUAUCACUAUGACUACAUACACAAGGGGAAAGAAAAAGCAAAAGAUAGUCCAUGCUUGAUGAUUCUAGCCACUCAACACUUGGGCUAUCAUAUGAGAUAUGACCCUUUUCUUUUCUGUUGCUUUGCUUUUCAUAUCUC
rnacentral:lncRNA from 1 species